UACAGAGGGUGCAAGCGUUAAUCGGAAUGACUGGGCGUAAAGGGCGCGUAGGUGGCAAAUUAAGUUAGAUGUGAAAUCCCUGGGCUUAACCUAGGAACUGCAUUUGAUACUGGUUUGCUAGAGUGUUGGAGAGGUAAGUGGAAUUUCCGGUGUAGCGGUGAAAUGCGUAGAUAUCGAGAGGAACACCUGCGGCGAAGGCGGGUUGCUGGGCUGACACUGACGCUGAUGCGCGAAAGCCAGGGGAGCGAACGGG
rnacentral:rRNA from 1 species